CUACAGAGGGUGCGAGCGUUAAUCGGAAUUACUGGGCGUAAAGCGCGCGUAGGCGGUCUAUUAAGUCAGAUGUGAAAUCCCAGGGCUCAACCUUGGAACUGCAUCUGAUACUGGUAGACUAGAGUUUUGGAGAGGGAAGUAGAAUUUCAGGUGUAGCGGUGAAAUGCAUAGAGAUCUGAAGGAAUACCAGUGGCGAAGGCGACUUCCUGGCCAAAAACUGACGCUGAGGUGCGAAAGCGUGGGUAGCAAACGGGAUUAGAAACCCUAGUAGUCC
rnacentral:rRNA from 1 species